rnacentral:lncRNA from 1 species
AUAAUAAUACCUUGCUUCUAAUUAUGUCACAGCUUGUUGGGAAGUUUCUGUGUUAGUAGGGGAGAAAGGAAUUCUAUAUGUAUAUAUGGAGCUCCUUAAUUAAACAAGGGGAGAAAGGAAUUCUAUAUGUAUAUAUGUCACAUAAAAUACAAGAAGAAAAGGAGAGAGUAGUGAAUCUUACCAGGGAUAAGAGAGAAAUGGCUGAAGAUGUCAGAAACGCUGGUGACGAGAAGAGCGGCGAACGACGGGAAGAGAGCAAACGGAACAGGGCGCACGAGGCAGUGCGGUGAUGAUGCAGUCUGGGUCGGCUGAAACGGACAGUGACGAGGCCGUGACGAUGGUGGUCGGAGGUUGCUGGCUGGGAGCCUGGGACGACGGAGAGAAUGCAGAGACGAAGAAGAGUUAGGGCUGGGAACUCGAAGGUUUAGAGAAACUGGUGUAGUUUGAACGGAUUAAGUGAAUCAGGAAAAAUUUUAUUGAACUUGAAAACAGAGUGUAAUAUAUGUCGAUAAAGGCACUAGUAAGUGAAAAUCAUAACAAAUGAGUUAUAACUCAAAUGGCAUAGUUUUGGAUAGUCAUUUAAGAAAUUGCGUGUUUGAGUCUCUAUUUUUGGUGAAAAAAUAAGUGAAAAUCAUAACAAAGUAAAAAACAAGUGAAAAUCAUAACAAAAUAAAAGAACUUUAGACAGUUUACCAACAAUAUUACAUUUUGGCAAAUGCUGAUGUGUUUCAAAAAAGACAUUAAAUCCAAAACCUUAAAUAUUUUCUAAAUCCUAAAAUUUUAAGCUUUAGAUCCUAAUUUUUAAUUCUAAACAGUAAUUUUAAAUUCUAAAUCUAAAUUAUUAAUAUAAAAUAUAAUAAUUUUACAUGUACAAUAUUUUUACUUAAUAAGGAGUAUUUAUGGAUGAGAUUUGCAUUUUACAUAUUUGAAAAUUUCAUCUCUUAACAAUGCAACCCCUUGGUUCAUUUAUUUGAAUAUCUUGAGAAUUUGGAAAAACUACGGGUCAAAGAACGUGGUAAUAGAUUUUCCAGGACCUAAUACAUGUGCACAGCACAUCACUAAUUUAUGUAAUGGGAAAAAAUGGUGUGGAAAAUUUCAAGCAAUAAAUAAAUAAAUCAAAUUUGAGAGUUUAACAUCACCAAAAUAUAAAAAACAGCUGAAUAUGAAUCAACAAAACAAAAUUAUCUUCUUCAAAGGCAUAAUAAUGAAGCAAAUCUCUCUGACAUGUCCAUUUUUUACACAAGAGGUGAGAAACCGUAGGAGAAAGACAGAAAGUGUCCAUGUGAUGAUGAAUGCUUUUGCUUUGAAGACUCAGGUAUCAUCUACUUGUGAAUGGAACACAAAGCUUGGGAAUGUUGUGGUGAUAUCCCUGCUCAUCAUACAAACCAAAAUAAUCAUCAUUGUAAAACAAUACAUCUUUUUUUCAUAAUUUCAUUUAUAUGAUUGUAAAUAAAUUAAUUCGUAUCCUGUUCAAGAAAGUUCUCAGCAAAUUCAAUUUUAUGUCAUUAUAUUGUUCUCAACACAUACUAAGAAACUUUAAAAGGGUUUUAGUGAUCAAUAACAAACUUUCUUUCCUAAUUGCCAUUAUUUUUCUUUGUACAUUUUAUUUUAUACCAAUGCCAUGGUCUUCUUCAAUUUUAGAUUCCUAGGAACUAGGAAGUUGAGAGAUCAUAAGUUAGAAAAUUACUUGAGAUAUUGAAGGGUCAUGUUUUUCAGAAGCGAUGGAUGGCGCAAAACAAGGCUUCUCCACUCCUCUUUGUCGAUCUUGCCGUCAUGCUUUGUGUCAGCUUCCUCAAAAGUCUGAAGACAUUCAUCCAAAAUUUAGUGUUAAAUGGAGUGACUUGAGACCAAAAAAUAAAAGAACAAAGUAAAAUGAAAGCAAAAAAGAGAGUUGGACAUGAGGGUCGCACCUUGUCGAUUAUACUCUCUAUAACAUCAUCCGAUAGGUUCAUGCCAGAUUCGGCAAGUGUAGCAACUACCAUUUGCUUCACCUUUAGAGGAAAAGAAAAGCAUAUUAAAAUCAUGAUUGUCCCAAAUAAGGAUCAAAAUCUUUAAUUUAUCAAAUCUAAGAAGGCUAUUACCUCUUGCCUUUCAAUGAAACCCUGCUGCUUGAGAUCAUACAAUUGAAAGGAAACUGAAACAAUAGAUAAUACAGUUUUAGUUUUCGUUUGUUAAAAAUGAAAGGAUUGGUUCAAAUCUUGCAUCAUCCUUAAUUCAAAAAGACGAGUGAUAAAAAAUUCGGUCCUAAAAUGACGAAUAACAAUUUCAAACAACAUACAUUCAAUCUUAUCAUCGAUAGGGGCAUUUGGAUGGAAAACUGAGAGAGCACGAGCAAACUCUUCGAAACCAAGUAUCCCAUUGUGCUUUGUGUCAAACAAAUCAAAUACCUAAGAGAGAACAGAUUGAGAAGCUCAUACGAGAUACUAACCAUAAUCAGAUCAAGGAAACAGAUAUUGGUUUAAGAAGUUAGAAACAAAUGAAAAGAAGUAAGCAAUACCCGAUCAGCAAAUAAACUCUCUUUUUUAUUCGUCUUGAAUAAUGCCAAUUGGAACUCUUCCUGCAAAUGAUAUAUAUGUAUUAAUGUUAUGGGGAAAAUGCAAUUAAGUAUAACAUCUGGUAGAUAUUUUAAUGGUAAAUCCCUUAUGAUGGGAUAAAAAAGACCUAGGCGAACAAUGGAAUUCAUGGUUUCGUAUAGAAUGACAAGUAAAACAUUUUUUUUCUUUCAUAAAAGGUAUAGGUAUAGAAGGUCAUUGACAUAAUCGUAUGUGCAAGGCACAAGUCAUCAGAUGAGAGAGAAAUCUAACCUUGUUAAUCAGCCCAUCAUCAAUCACGGCACUGCUGAUCUUUUUAAAGAGCUCAUAAAGUGCUUCGAUUUCACUUACGCUAACUGCAUACAGUUGCAGAAAAAUAGUUAGUUAUCACUGGUUCAAGCAAUGUGCAUCCAUUCACAAGUAGUAGCAUGACAUAUAUUAGAAAACAGAAACAAAUUAGAUAUAAAUAUCAUCUGUGUGGUUUCAUUUCUUUUUUUGUUCAUCAAUUCCAAUCAAAUAUUUUCAAAGUCUAAAGGGAAUAAAUCAAGAUACUAGAUUUUAGAAGCAUGUGUAUCCAAACCAAAGAUUCAUUCAUAACAACACAGAAGUAACAGUAAAUGUAUCCGAAUCACAUAGUAAGUUUGAUGCAUACACACUGUUUCCCUCGCAAGGAGUUCAGGAUCUUCAAGGCCUCUUGACUGUUUAUAUAUAUCAAGGUCACAACACCGUAAAAGAGGAGCAAAUAGAUGCCUCAAUCCCUCUAUGCACUGCAACAUGAUAUCUCUCCAAGUUGUAAAUCAAAAUACUCCAUAACUGUUCCAAAAAGAAAUCAAUUAGAUAUUUAAUUUAGUUCUUUCCUAAUGAAAUCAUUGGUGGGUGUAGGGCCAGCUAACCUUUUAACCAUUUCCAACUUCAGCUAAUCAAUCCAAAUGCCAAGAUAUCUUAAUUUGGAGGAACCACUGGGAACAAUAUAUUCCAAUUUCAGAAUUACAAGAAAAAAAAACCUAUAGAGAAAAUAAUUAAAGACAAAACGCCCCCCAAAAAAAAGAUCUGUGCUCUAACUUGGAUUAAAACAUAAUUUCAAAUUACUAAUUACAUCACUCUCAAUGAUCGAAAGUUAUGUAUUACUUUCUUCCAACCACAUGCAAUCAAUCACAUUUUGCACUGCAAGGGGAGUUUUCUCAAAUCCACACAUGUACAUACAUACAUACAUAUUAAAGUCAGGAAUUACAGCACAAAACGGGUGAAAACUUAAGUUUAGAACUAAUACUAUAGUGAAGAGAAAAGAAAGAAGACCAGCAACAUGUGUAGAAUAAUAAAUAACUUCCAAACCCUACAAUGGAACUCAUGCAUGCAACUAAAUAAAGCUUCAGGUUAGAUUGUCAGAUACCAAAAGCCUGCAAAAUUAAGCUAGUUUUCAAUAGAAAAUCCAAAACUGAAGUAGAACCAUUCAUCUUCUAAACCUGCAACAGCCUCAAACUCCUUAAAUCGUUCCAAACGUUUGUAAAAGGCCCCUAGAUUCCACUUAGUGAAUCCUAAUUGCAAUCAAAACUCAUAACUAACACUUACUACAACAAACAGAGAACCUGAAACUUGAGGCCUGAAACACACUUAAUCCUUGUACUAAAGUAGCUCAACCAAUAAAUUAAGCACAAUAAGAAGGUGAAUCAGCUUUAUGUUUAGUCGAUUCAUGUAUCACCGUUUUGGGUUAUAAUUCAAUAUAUAAAUGGUGCAGCAAAUCAGAAUUUUUCAUUCUACAAAAUAUAAAUUAUUAAUACAGAAUAGCAUAGCAUAAAUUCAUCAACAGGCAACAGCUACUAAAAUCAGAAUUCAGAAUUAAUGGAAUAUAAAAAAAUUAAAGUAUGAAAAAAAUGAAAAAACAGCCACCAAUUAUCAGAAAUUCAUAGAACAAAACAUCCAUUAAUAAAAACAACAGCCACCAACUUCAAAAAAUCAAAAUCACCAUCAAAUUCAUGAAAAAAGCAAAAACCUAAACUGAAAUCCCAAAAUACAAGAAGAAAAGGAGAGAGUAGUGAAUCUUACCAGGGAUAAGAGAGAAAUGGCUGAAGAGGUCAGAAACGCCAAUGAAGAGAAGAGCGACGAACGACGGGAAGAGAGCGAACGGAACAGGGCGCACGGGGCGGUGCGGUGAUGAUGCAGUGUGGGCCGGCUGAAACGGACAGUGACGAGGCCGUGACGAUGGUGGUCGGAGGUUGCUGGCUGGGAGCCUGGGACGACGGAGAGAAUGCAGAGACGAAGAAGAGUUAGGGCUGGGAACUCGAAGGUAGGAGGUUGCGGCGCUCUCUGUUUGAAGUGGGAAUUGGGAACUGAGAAGAGGAGUAAGGGAUUUAGGGUUAACUUUUCUAUAU